CAUAAAAUCCCGGCCGUUGGUGCUCGCGCCGUGGUUCGCACGGCGCAGUUCAACGGGAAGCAGGAGUGGACGCCCCCGAUUCGCAUCGGGACCCGGCCGAAGCCGCCUGCGCUGCCCCCGCAACGGUCAAGCAGACGGCGCCGAAAGGCGCCAACCCCUUUCCAUCGAAGCCACUGGGUGCCCUGAAACAGGCACCUGGGAAGGCGGCGAGGGGCCGUUCUGCCAGCCCGGAUACCGGCCAACAAGGCGGCUGCCGCA
rnacentral:ncRNA from 1 species